rnacentral:lncRNA from 1 species
GCUGCUUACAAUUAUCUCUAUCUAUAAUGAACAUUGCCAUUAAAGCGGGUUGUUUGGCAUGCCACAAAACCAGGUUCAACCCUACAUUUUUUUUCUUAAAAUGUCCUGUACCAAGUCAGGAAAAUGGCCAUUGUUAUAUUAUAGUUCGUUUCUGUGUGUGUUACACAAUGUGUAUGUUGUGUUUCUGUUAUGUGUUCUCUUAUAUUUGAUGCGUUUCCCUCAGUUUUAGUUUGUAACCAGGAUUUGUUUACUUUCUCAGUCAAUUUGUGAGUUUCGAACAGCGAUAUACUACUGUUGCCUUU